rnacentral:rRNA from 1 species
GACGAACGCUGGCGGCGUGCUUAACACAUGCAAGUCGAACGGAAAGGCCCUGCUUUUGUGGGGUGCUCGAGUGGCGAACGGGUGAGUAACACGUGAGUAACCUGCCCUUGACUAUGGGAUAACUUCAGGAAACUGGGGCUAAUAACGGAUAGGAGCUCCUGCUGCCUGGUGGGGGUUGGAAAGUUUCGGCGGUUGGGGAUGGACUCGCGGCUUAUCAGCUUGUUGGUGGGGUAGUGGCUUACCAAGGCUUUGACGGGUAGCCGGCCUGAGAGGGUGACCGGCCACAUUGGGACUGCGAUACGGCCCAGACUCCUACGGGAGGCAGCAGUGGGGAAUAUUGCACAAUGGGCGGAAGCCUGAUGCAGCAACGCCGCGUGCGGGAUGACGGCCUUCGGGUUGUAAACCGCUUUCGCCUGUGACGAAGCGUGAGUGACGGUAAUGGGUAAAGAAGCACCGGCUAACUACGUG